rnacentral:piRNA from 1 species
UCGGAAAACAUUCGGGGCAGUCGAUAA